GCCAGAGGCGCUGAAGAAGAACAAACACUCGUACUCUUCGAUCUCCCUCUCCAAUCCGCAACCAUGGGUAUCUCGCGUGACUCUAUUCACAAGAGGCAUGCCAUUGGAGCAAGAAGAAGACAUGGAGGAAGAAGAGAAAUAUGAGCUUGGCCACCAGCCUGCUAAUACUAAGCUUUCAAGCAACAAGACUGAGGCGAAUUCGGGUGAGAGGAGGCAAUGUGAAAUGGAGAGCCCGCAGUUUGGAUACCGGGAACUACUCAUGGGGUAGUGAAGCUGACACCUGCAAAACACGUAUGUUGUCUACAAUGCUUCAAACUACUCAUGGGGUAGCCACCACUGGAUUUUGUCUACAAUGCUUCAAACAAUGAGCUUGUGAGAACACAAACUCUAGUGAAAAGUGCCAUUGUUCAAGUGGAUGCUGCCCGAUUCAAGCAAUGGUGGCUGCUAAGAAGGAAACCCCAGAGCAGGAAGUAGAAGCAGCUACUAGGGAUGCAACCCGAGCUCAAAAUACCAGUUCUGCGACCGACCGACCCGAUCCGACCGUUCAAAUCUAAAUCGGGUCGAACCCGUAUGACCCGACUGAUCUUAUUAAAAAAAAAGAUGCCUUUUUUUUCUAGGAAACAUCCAUCGACCCAUUUACUAAAGUAGGAAGGAAGACGAGUUCAAGUAAAUAAUGCGAAUAUUACUGAUAACAGCAAAAAUUACAGUUAUAUGCAGUUUCAAUCAAUUAAGAACCCCAUAGAUCUGUAAAUCCUCAGAUGGAAAAAUAUGUACAACUUGAUUGGAAUCUAGGCCGUUCUUGGUGCUCCCGGCUCCUUUCUUGUGCACAUUUUGAAUGGUCAGCGGCAAUCUCACGGAAGAUGGCUUGGGACCCACCAUGCGUAUGGACCCCAAGUCACCUCUGAAGAAGAAGAAGAGCUCGGAGAAGCUAAGGUGAGGCCACUGAAUGCCCCAGCCAGGUUGAAACUCAUCGACGUAGCCACCGCCAUUUUCUUCUUCUUUUCUCUUCUUACGUAACCUUCAGUAUCUAGUCUAUAGCUUGUGAACGAGGGUAGAGAGAGAGAGUAAUUAUGGGAGGGGUUGCGUGAAGGAGGAGAGAGAGAGAGAGUAAUUAUGGGAGGGGUUGCGUGAAGGAGGAGAGAGAGAGAGAGUAAUUAUGAUUUAUGGGAGGUUGCGUGAAGGACUAAGGGAGAGUAAUUAUGGGAAGGGUUGCGUGUCAUUUGUAUGAAACAAAGGAAGUUAUGGAUGGAGGAUUUAUGCUAUUUUUGUAAAAGAGAAAAAAAAACAAAGUGAAUGUUGCGGUUUCUUCGGUUUUGACCGAUAUAAAACGUAGCCAACCCGUUAUUUCCCUUGAUCCGAUGAACCCGAAUUUUGUCAGGUGGGCCAAUAGCGGUUCUUGCGGACGGAUCGGUUUAGGCCUUU